GCUGAACGCUAGCUACAGGCUUAACACAUGCAAGUCGAGGGACCGGCGCACGGGUGAGUCACCCGUAUCCAACCUGCCCUUUACUCGGGGAUCGCCUUUCGAAAGACAGAUUAAUACCCGAUAUAAAGGAUGGGGAUGCGUUCCAUUAGGUUGUUGGUGAGGUAACGGCGAACCAAGCCUUCGAUGGGUAGGGGUUCUGAGAGGCAGGUCCACGACAGGUGAACUGAGACACGGUACAAAAUCGUAAGGGAGGCAGAAGUGAGGAAUAGUGGUAAAUGGGGGCUAGCCUGAACCAGCCAAGUAGCUUGAAGGAUGAAGGCUUAUGGGUCGUAAACUUCUUUUAUAUAAGAAUAUGUAUUAUAUGAAUAAGGAUCGGCGAACUCCGUGCCAGCAGCCGCGGUAAUAC
rnacentral:rRNA from 1 species